rnacentral:rRNA from 1 species
GGUUGCGAUCAUACCAGCACUAAUGCACCGGAUCCCAUCAGAACUCCGCAGUUAAGCGUGCUUGGGCGAGACUAGUACUAGGAUGGGUGAACCCCUGGGAAGUCCUCGUGUUGCAACCCC